CCUACGGGAGGCAGCAGUGGGGAAUAUUGCACAAUGGGCGAAAGCCUGAUGCAGCAACGCCGCGUGAGCGAUGAAGGCCGUCGGGGCGUAAAGCUCUGUCCACAAGGAAGAGAAUGACGGUACUGGAGGAGGAAGCCCCGGCUAACGACGUGCCAGCAGCCGCGGUAAUACGUAGGGGGCGAGCUUUAUCCGGAAUUACGGGGCGUACAGGGUGCGUAGGUGGUUUCUUAAGUCAGAGGUGAAAGGCUACGGCUCAACCGUAGGAAGCCUUUGAAACGGGGGAACUUGAGUGCAGGAGAGGAGAGUGGAUUUCCUAGUGUAGCGGUUACAUGCGUAGAUAUUAGGAGGAACACCAGUUGCGACGGCGGCUCUCUGGACUGUAACUGACACUGCGGCACGAAAGCGUGGGGAGCAAACAGGAUUAGAUACCCCGGUAGUC
rnacentral:rRNA from 1 species